UGAUCUAAGUCGAGCAAAGGUAUGCUCUUAUCUGACAAGAGAAGGAGGAGUUAAUCUGCUUGAAACUGGUGCUGUCUCAGCGUCUAUACGUCGGCAACUACAUGGAAAGACCUACCAGAUGGCUCUCCUGUCUGCCUCAGAGUCUCCACCAUCUGCUAAAUCUAUCAGCACUGGAGACACAUUUCCUUCCUCACUCAGGAGGCAAAGGCAGACGGAUCUCUGUGAGUUCGAGGCCAACCUGGUCUAUAAAUCAAGUUCCAGGACAGCUAUAGCUCCAGAUGGGCAAAGAAGUUGCUACUAAGGACAUUUGUUAGUCUUCUGUCACAUAAAACUUAUUAUUCCAA